CCAGGACCAUUGCCAUCUAACCGCUUGGACAAGGCACUGCGUGCUACGCAUCCAAAAUGGUUAUUUAAAAAUUGUCUAAACUUCUUAACUUCGUCGUUUCGAUUUUCGUGGAAAAUAGCUAUCUGACUAUCGGAACGAAGAAUCGGGAUCUAGAUCGGAAGAGAAGACCGAGAGGAAGGAGAGCGGACGUAAAUGAGAAGUGAACGGGAGCACGAUCGGCCGGUCGGUUGCAAUUACGCAAUUGACAUUGGCAAAGUGUAACAGUACGGGCACGGCCAAGAACUUCGUGAUUUCAUAAGUAAGCCGCAGGCGAAGGAAAGCAUUAUACUUUGGUAAGCUGGUACACCGCGUCUUUUUCGUUUCCUAAUCCAAGCCUUUGGGCGUCGAACGUUGCGUUGUCCUCCCAACUUCCUUCGCGCUGCGAGGUGUCGCGUAUAUAAAUUCGCUGACGCGAAAAAAUAAACGACCCGGCCAGUUGCGAAAUAAAAUUCGCUGGCUGUUCAACACGACCAAUAUAUAAUAAAAGGAGCGAAAUUGACGCGACGAUAUAGCGUUUAAAUCUUGAAAUGACAUAGACUAAACGUAGGAGAAUUAUUUCACAAAGUAAGCGACCGUGACUUUUAAGAAAGUACUAUAUGGGAAUUUUACUAUCUAAAAGAGGUAGAAAAGAUAACUCUUAGUACAGAGAAAACUCUUUUGGCUUGAAAGGCUCUCCCGAUUUAUUAACUCCUUAAAAAAUUUCAUACAAUACUGUAUGCUCAUAAUUACGUGAUGUCAGCAAUACUGGCAACCCCUCGCGUAUCGUAUCAACUUGCAGACUUAACUUUACACGAAUCGAAUUACUCCUU